rnacentral:rRNA from 1 species
AGAGUUUGAUCCUGGCUCAGGAUAAACGCUGGCGGUGUGCCUUAUGCAUGCAAGUCGAACGAGGUCUAGGACUUCGGUUCUAGACCUGUGGCGAACGGGUGAGUAACACGUACGUAACCUGUCCGAAAGUGGGGAACAACUCCGCGAAAGCGGAGCUAAUACCGCAUAUGGUUCCCGGUGAAAGACCGGGGAACAAAAGCCUUCGGGCGCUUUCGGAGGGGCGUGCGGCCGAUUAGCUAGUUGGUGUGGUAACGGCGCACCAAGGCGACCAUCGGUAGCUGGUCUGAGAGGAUGAUCAGCCACACUGGGACUGAGACACGGCCCAGACUCCUACGGGAGGCAGCAGUGGGGAAUAUUGGACAAUGGGCGCAAGCCUGAUCCAGCCAUGCCGCGUGGGUGAAGAAGGCCCUAGGGUUGUAAACCCCUUUCAGCGGGGAAGAUAAUGACGGUACCCGCAGAAGAAGCCCCGGCUAACUCCGUGCCAGCAGCCGCGGUAAUACGGAGGGGACUAGCGUUGUUCGGAAUUACUGGGCGUAAAGCGCGCGUAGGCGGACUUUCAAGUCAGGGGUGAAGUCCCGAGGCUCAACCUCGGAACUGCCUCUGAUACUGUAAGUCUUGAGACCGAGAGAGGUGAGUGGAAUUCCUAGUGUAGAGGUGAAAUUCGUAGAUAUUAGGAAGAACACCAGUGGCGAAGGCGGC